rnacentral:lncRNA from 1 species
GAAAGAAUCACUCUGGAUGCUGUGUGGAGAAAACACUGAAAAGUCUUUAUAGGGGGAGAAUAAUUGACUCCAUUCAAGUGUUCGCUCCUGUUUCAAUCAACUAUGGCUGAAGAGUGAGGAGACAUUUGGAAUAAAUAUGGCUUCUGGGGGCCCAUUCCUAUGGAUCAGCAGCUGGCUUCUGGAGGCCCAUUCCUGUGAAUCGUCGAUCUCAUAGAAGAUAAUAUUGUUAGAAGGCUUACCUCAUUGAUGCUGAACAUCCUAAAAAGCUUCUGCUGCUUUGAGUCACUGAAAAAGACCAAGAAACAUGAAUUUAAAAAAAAAUUUCAAAUGUUAUAAAAUAAAUAAUAUGAACUCAUUAUACCUACAAUGAAUAAUUUAAAUUCUUCUUUGGUAGUCCAGGUUUAGAAACUAUGAAAACCCUAGAAGAAAACCUAGGCAAUGCCAUUCAGGACAUAGGCACGGACAAAGAUUUCAUGACGAAGACGCCAAAAACAACUGCAACAAAAGCAAAAAUUGACAGAUGGGAUCUCAUUAAACUAAAGAGCUUCCAUACAGCAAAAGAAGCUACCAUGAGAGUGAACAGACAACCUAUAGAAAGGGAGAAAAAUUUUGCAAUCUGUUCAUCUGACAAAGGUCUAAUAUCCAGCAUCUACAAGGAACUUAAAUAAAUUUACAAGAAAAAAACAAACCCAUUAGAAAAUGGGCAAAGGACAUGAAAAGAUACUUCUCAAAAGACAUACAUGUGGCCAACAAUCAUACAAAAAAAACCUCAACAUCACUGAUGAUUAGAAAAAUGCUAAUCAAAACCACAACGAGAUACCAUCUCAUACCUGUCAGAAUGGCUAUUAAUAAAAAGUUAAAAAACAA